AGAGUUUGAUCAUGGCUCAGGAUGAACGCUGGCGGCGUGCCUAAUACAUGCAAGUCGAGCGAACAGACGAGGAGCUUGCUCCUCUGACGUUAGCGGCGGACGGGUGAGUAACACGUGGAUAACCUACCUAUAAGACUGGGAUAACUUCGGGAAACCGGAGCUAAUACCGGAUAACAUGUUGAACCGCAUGGUUCAACAGUGAAAGACGGUCUUGCUGUCACUUAUAGAUGGAUCCGCGCCGCAUUAGCUAGUUGGUAAGGUAACGGCUUACCAAGGCAACGAUGCGUAGCCGACCUGAGAGGGUGAUCGGCCACACUGGAACUGAGACACGGUCCAGACUCCUACGGGAGGCAGCAGUAGGGAAUCUUCCGCAAUGGGCGAAAGCCUGACGGAGCAACGCCGCGUGAGUGAAGAAGGUCUUCGGAUCGUAAAACUCUGUUAUUAGGGAAGAACAAAUGUGUAAGUAACUAUGCACGUCUUGACGGUACCUAAUCAGAAAGCCACGGCUAACUACGUGCCAGCCGCCGCGGUAAUUC
rnacentral:rRNA from 1 species